AAUUAUACAUGCAUACUGCAGCCACACUAUUGUAGACACUAAAAGUACAGUUACAUGUUUGUUUUGUUCUUUUUAUUUUUAGACUCACUCUUCUAAACAUAAUGGGUCAUUUGUUUUCAUGAGAAAAAGUGAAAGUUUUUUUUCUGAUUAUUCAUAUUAUAUUGAAGAUGUGAGCUUAAUAACUUGAACUUGAUUUUCCUAUUAAUUUCAUUUCACAUGUAAAUAAUGCUUUUAAAAUAUGUUUACUUGAUAUCUCAUGUUCAAAGUGUCCUUAACAGCUAGUCAUAUUUGAAGAUGUUCGAGAUGCUGAAGAUGCUCUUUAUAACCUCAAUAGAAAGUGGGUAUGUGGCCGUCAGAUUGAAAUACAGUUUGCACAAGGUGAUCGCAAAAGUAAGUGUGACUGAAUGCUAGAUUUUAUUUAUUCAGCAGAAUGAGUUUCAGUGAUGACUGAUUUUUUAAUUUAAAAUUCUUUCAGUAAAUGAUUGCUAGUUGAGUGGUUGUUACUGUGGUGUUCAGGUAACGAAUUAUGUCAUAAGUCUUGUUCUUUAUGUUCCAGCACCAGGCCAAAUGAAAUCAAAAGAACGUCAUCCUUGUUCUCCAAGUGAUCACAGGAGAUCAAGAAGCCCCAGCCAAAGAAGAACUCGAAGUAGAAGUUCUUCAUGGGGAAGAAAUAGGAGGCGGUCAGACAGCCUUAAAGAGUCUCGACACAGGCGAUUUUCUUAUAGCCAGUCUAAAUCUCGUUCCAAAUCAUUACCAAGGCGGUCUACCUCAGCAAGGCAGUCAAGAACUCCAA
rnacentral:lncRNA from 1 species